GGGGGGUUUGGUUGGGAAGAAGGGGGGAAGGGCGCAAAAGGAAAUAGAAGAAAAACAGAAAAAAUAGGCAUUGGGCUCGUGGCUCACUGGUUGAGCGCUUGCUUGUAGUGCACCUUUUGAAAAUUUCUGAUGUACCCAAAAAAUAAAAAAGCAAAGACAGCUUCUAUGUACAUGUCACCAUGAAUCAGCAAGGACCAUUCACAAAGUCUAUUGGUCACUCAUGAAGGGAAAAUAUGAUCUUGCAUUUCAAGAGCAAAGGGAAAGUGUAAGAUUGGACAAAUUGCAAUAAUUUAUCACAUACGUCUUCCAACCAGCAACAAUUUUGGAACAGAAAAGUCAGAAGAUGGAUGUAAAAUCUGACCCAUGUAACUAAUUUUUACCAAAACAUCAUUGCUAUAAAAGAGCAUUAAACCAUACCGCUCCUUCCUCUCUUGC
rnacentral:misc_RNA from 1 species